rnacentral:tRNA from 1 species
GGGGAUAUAGCUCAGUUGGUAGAGUGCUUGCCUUGCAUGCACAAGGCCCUGGGUUCAAUCCCCAGCACCACCC